CCUACGGGGGACUGCAGUAGGGAAUUUUGCGCAAUGGGGGAAACCCUGACGCAGCAACGCCGCGUGAUCGAUGAAGCCCUUCGGGGUGUAAAGAUCUGUCAGUGGGGACGAAACCUGACGGUACCCACAGAGGAAGCACCGGCUAACUCCGUGCCAGCAGCCGCGGUAAUACGGGGGGUGCAAGCGUUGUCCGGAAUUAUUGGGCGUAAAGAGUUCGUAGGUGGCACGGUAAGUCUGGUGUGAAAGGCGGAAGCUUAACUUCGGUAGCGCACUGGAUACUGGCGAGGUUGAGUGCGGGAGAGGUAAGGGGAAUUCCUGGUGUAGCGGUGAAAUGCGUAGAUAUCAGGAGGAACAUCGGUGGCGAAGGCGCUUUACUGGACCGUAAUUGACGCUGAGGAACGAAAGCCUGGGUAGCAAAUAGGAUUAGAUACCCUUGUAGUC
rnacentral:rRNA from 1 species